CCUAACUUUUAUGACUUGGGGGACACUUUUCUGGCUGCUGCUGGAAACUGUGUUCUCCAAAUUGUAAUUCUAAGACCCCAAAUAAACACUCUCCUUUGGUUU